AAAGGCAGCCUUCUUGAGUAAAAAAAGCCAAGGCUUGAAAAAAAAUAUUGAGCGAAAAAUAGAAAUGAUAAAAGAAUGCUCAAAAGAAUAAGUUGACUUGGUUAGAUGGUCGAAAAAUCUCAUGUUUGGGGUGUUGAGCUGUGAGAAAUUUGUACGCAUUGACUGAGAUGUGAAAGAUGUUGUGAUGGAUGUGCUAGUAUUUUAAGAAUGGUGGUAAGCUACUUAACCAUAUAUUAUCCCACCUUUACCAAAAGCCCCUUUACAUCCCAAUGAAUAAGACCUUUUCAUUUAUGCAUCAUAUUGACUUGUGAGCGAUGAAUUUUGCUUGAAUUUGGGAGAAAGAUCUUAUGUGCUUAAAAUAAAGAAUAGCCGGAAGAACUUCUCUUUAGGAAUUAGUGACGAUGGUUUGAGACUCCCAAGACACAACUCGAGCUUAUAUUGAAGCAUGGGAUGCCUAGGUCUUAGGGAAUUAGUUCGUGUACAAUUCUUGUUCGAAAGUUUUACCCGCGAGUGAAUUCAUGGUCGACCUAAUUUCCCUACGGAUUCGUUGGUGUGACUUGAAGGAGAGGAUUAUCUAAUAUCUUAUGACUGUGCUUUAUUGUCUAACUUGCUCGAGGGCUAGCAAGACUUAAGUUAUGGGGGUGUUUGAUGUGAGUGGGUAAUUGUCUAACUUGUUCCUCGGAGUAUACAAUGGAAUGGAGGGUAGCGUAUUACUGCUCCAAGUCAGUUUUGCCCACUUUGAUAUUAAGUGUCUCUCAGUUCAUACUAAAGCCAUCAAUGAAGAACUACUGCAAAAUCUUUCUGAUGCUCUACAUUUUUCUCUACUUGAUAAAAUUGGAGUUAGCCUUGCUGGGUCCAAAAUCUGAAGAUCACGAUACCAGGAUGUGUGGAAAUAAUUUCAGUUUGAGUCAGAUUAAAGAGCUGUGUGCCAAUCCUAUUGUAUUUGAGGCGACUGAGAUGGCCUCUCUAAGCAUUCAGAUUCAUUCUUGCAAAUGUUAUCUCUUGGGCAACUAAGGUGCUUUCUGUGAUAGUUCCUCGUGCAAAAAUAGACUAGAAUUUCUUAGUCGAUCUGAAGGCCGAAGCCCAACUACGUGGAAAUCACUUCUUCAGCGUUGAUAAAAACGCACCGCACUUGGGUGAGCAAGAUCUGGG